CAUAAACUACACAAAUUUGGACGCGGGGUCCGGAAGACUACGGGUUCGGUCGGGCUUUUAAUUUUGGAUCCUUUAUAUCGCUUCUGACUCCCAUCUUCUUUCUCACGCUUCAUUCCAAACCCUAUCGCUUCUGACUCCCAUCUUCUUUGUUACGCUUCUCCUAUCUGCUAGCCACCAUGUUCCUCCUUCUUUACGAUUCAAAUCAAAUGUUAGUUAUCAACCACUGUGAUCCUAUUUUUUCUUAGUUGUUCUACGAUUCAAACCCUAGAUCGAUCAAAACCCUAGAUCAACGAGUGCAAGUUCGUGUUCUUCACUCUCAUAUUCAUCAACAUAGGUAUUUUUAUCCCUUCCGAUCUUUGAUGUUUUUGUUAUGUGAUUCCAAUCAUAACAAUCCAGUUUUUUUGUUUUUAUUUUUGAUUGUGAAAACCCUAAAUGGUCAAUGUUUACAAACGAUGGUUAUUUCUGAUUGCUGUUGUUGCGUUUGAUUUGUAAAUUGUGUUUUCUAUUUUUAUGAUUGGUGUGGCCGUUGAUGAAUAAAGUUUUGCCUACAUUGUCCGAUUGUUAUUUGUGACCAGAAGACUGAAGUUUCAGAGGCCCUUUUUUAUUUCUUUUCAGUUUGGAAAGUUUGUUGGUUUUGUUCUAUUUUGAGUUUUGCUUUUUUUGUGUUUUACAAAACUAAAACGAAGAAUUUUAAAUUAAGUCUGCAAACAUAGUUGCACACUUUUAACCAAAUGGCUGAUCAACUGUUGUUGAGGUUGAGAACAUUCCAAGUUUGACAUUCGGGUUCCAGAAUUAAAAAAAAAACCCUGCAUUGAUGUUAAACAACCUCGCCGGCCAUAUGUUAUAACGUACAAUGAAGUCUUGGAACCCAUAUGUUUGAAGUUGUGUUUUUUUUUGAACCCAGCAAAAUUUCCGUUUUGUUAGUUUUUCCUUAUGUUUUGCCUAGGUAGAAAAAAAUAGAACUAGAUCUCUUUUGCGUAAGUACUGCAAAGUCAAUCUUUAUGUCCCUACACGGCUACAAUGAAAUCUUAUACUUGGGUGCCGUUUCCCAGACUUUAGAAACUGUUAAGGGUCGGCUCAUACAAAAUAUUUGGGUUUAAGAAUGAUUUUAGGGUUUGGCAUUGUAAUAGAAUUAUAAAAAAAAAUCAUCGUCAAGUUUGUUAGGUUCAAGAUUAUGUCGGCUGAUGUAGUUUUUAUCUUUGUCAAAUUUGAGUUCAUCAGUUGGUUAAUACGUCAUCUUAAUUUGGCUGUUUGUAUCAGUAAUGCUAGAUUUCUUAUCUUUUUCUUUCUAAAUCAUUAUUGUUAAUCGGAUGUAAACGGUAUGUGCGGUUUUUUAAAUGAAAGUUAGCCUCACUUUCUAAAAACCUAAAUCCCCAAAAUCCAAAAUCUCUUUUUUCCAUUGAUGUUCCAUCUUGAUUAUUCCAUCUCUUAUCGCCACCACCAAGAUCUUAGUUCCACAAAUUUUGUACAAUUUUCUUCCGCUUUCAUCUAUUCAGCAGAUGAUUUGGCUUGGCCGUCAUUCAGAUCUAAGAAUGAUGCAGGCUGUUAGCUUUUAUCGGAUAGAGAAUUCCCUUUUGACCGAUAUUUGGAACACAGUGUAUCCUUUUUUUCCAUUCCACGUGGGGUUUGUUCAUUGUUCAUAUAUUAAUGCAAUUUCUAAUGUUUUUGGUUUUAUAAAUAAAGUGAUGGUGUUGUUUCUUAUUUGUCAAUUGAUUAGUGACGAAAUCAUUUGUGCUUUUUUAAACAAAUCGUUGAUUAAGCCGACUAGGACGCAAAUAGUGGUGUUGCGCCUUGCGGGGGUGAGAGGAGGUGAAAUAGAGGUUUUUGAAGGAAGAUCUUGCGAAAUUGCUGGCUAAUUGACUUGAUGUUUUGUAUAUUAGACAAGUCUGAUGGGCAAAGAAAACACCCAACAACCACAGGUUUGGUGAUUUUGUUUAAUUGCAGCUGUUACAUUCACUUAUGAGUAGGGAUGGUAUCUGUAUCGGUACCGGUACCGAAAACACAAGUACCGAAAUUCGCCAAAUAUUGGUACCGGCACCGAAAAUGUUCGGUACGAAACUGGUACCAGUAUUUGAAGGCAAAAUUUGGUACCGAUAUCGGUAACGAAAGUACCGGUACCGAAAACGCCUAAAAGUUAGUACCGAUUCGGUACCGAAAAUAAUUCGGUACGGGAAAUCCGGUACCGAAUGCUCAUCCCUACUUAUGAGUGGGUCCAUUCGAGUCAUGUCUUACAUCAAAUAUACUUAUAUACACCUAAAAAAUAAACGGGUCAAAUGGGUUGAACGAGUCAAAAGUCACCCAAAGUGUGCUCUAAGAGUUUUACUUCUUGAAUCCUUCUAUUUAGUUAUGUUUAAUUUGGUGGAGUCUUUGUUUUUAGAUUUGCAUUGUUCGGCACUAUAUAACAACUGGGAUAAGUUUGGAAAUGAAAUUCAAUAUGUUUGACCUUAAAGGUCAAAAUUGUAAUUGUGUUUUGAUUUUUGAACAUGAAGAACACUAAGCAUGAUGGUUACACAUUGGCCAUGUUAUUCAAAUUCUAACUAAAAUGUGUUUCAAUACAAGUUAGAAGACUUAUGGUACAUGUCACAUAGAAUCUACAGAUAGAGUGUGAUGUUAACAAAUUGUGAAUGAUAAACAAACUCAUGUUUCAUUUGUUCUUUAGGGUGGGAGUACUCUAAAGACGGGAAAUGUGAGAAAAUGCCUUCUACAACAUUUGUCACCAUGAAGAUAAAGUCACUUCCAUGCAUUAAACAUGAGCACAUGAUAUGGAUCUGGCUUGGAAAUGAACACCUAUUAUGCCUUAACUAAAAACACUCCUAGGAUUCCAAAUACAUGCUGAAUGUUACUAAUGCUUAUGUUCUUUUUUGUGAUUAUGCAAGUUAGAAUUAGAGAUUCAUGCUCAACUCUUUUUAUUGCGAAUGAGUCAUUUUGGUUUGGGUAUAAUCUCAAACGGGUCAAAUAAUUUUUUACUCUGUAAAAUGGGAUGUGGGUCAAGUUGGAAAUGCCUACAUCUCCUUUGGGCAAUGUCCAUUUUGGUUUGGGUGUAAUCUCAAACAGGUCAAAUAAUUUCAGAAAAAUUGUGUCCGUGGGAUAUUCCAGCUUUUGGAAGCUGAAUCUCAUAAUUAUGCUAUUGUAUUCUUUUUAAAACUUUUAGGAAUUAGAGGUGCUUUUCGUAUCAUAUUUUCAGGAUAUACUCCUUUUUUCUAAAAUGUUGAUAUUUCUUUUGUGGAUCAAUACGAGUACCUACUCAUUAGUUCUUGGUUAUUAUCAUGAUUUAUCUAAAAAUGAAUUAAUAGCUUUCUGUUGGCUAUAAAUACUUCUUUGUCAAAUUCUAAGUAUGAUGUUUUUAUAUGUUCUUUUUUUAAUAUACAACUAACAAUUUUUUUCACCUGGAAGGAUGUUGCAAUUAAGGUUAGGUUGUAUGUCUUGCAAAGCUACAUACCUGCAGGAACCACAAUUAGGUUUUCUAAAGUAAAGGAAAAACAAAAAGAAGAGGCUGGAAAUGCAUAUAGGAGCGGACCCUUAAAGAAGCAAAGUGCAGGGGAAUCAUAAAGGUUAACCUUUGAUCUAUUUAUGUUGAGCAACAUAUAGGUUUUAUGUAUUUAUAUAUAUUAAUUUUGUGUAUCUUUUGUUAAGAAUCGAGUGAUCGGUUUUCUUAAACUAAGGUUUUGCCUCUCCACCAUUACCCGAAAAGCAAAGCAUUCAUUGGGAUUAAGGUUUUGCCUUUCGACCAUUACUCGAUAAUGGACCAAACCAUGAAGAUCCAUUGAAUCUGGAGGCUACUGCUGUUCUAAGUGAACUUACAAGCAUAUAGAUCUAAUGUUAAGACAAAAAUGGGUGAAUGACAUGUGGGCGAUACAUAUUUUGCACGAUGCAUGUAACGUUUUUCUCGCUACAACAGAAACCUCACACUAUAUAAAGUACAAUGUAUUUGGUUUUUCUCUAGACUUUUGGUUGCCCGGUUUCAGAAAUUACAAACUGUAUUGGACGAUUUGGUUUACGAUUUAUACUUUUAUACUUAAA